rnacentral:misc_RNA from 1 species
GAUGAAGAACGUAGCGAAAUGCGAUAAGUAAUGUGAAUUGCAGAAUUCAGUGAAUCAUCGAAUCUUUGAACGCACAUUGCGCCCGCCAGUAUUCUGGCGGGCAUGCCUGUUCGAGCGUCAUUUCAACCAUCAAGCCCCAGGCUUGUGUUGGGGACCUGCGGCUGCCGCAGGCCCUGAAAAUCAGUGGCGGGCUCGCUAGUCACUCCGAGCGUAGUAAUACAUCUCGCUCAGGGCGUGCUGCGGGUUCCGGCCGUUAAAAAGCCUUAUUUACCCAAGGUUGACCUCGGAUCAGGUAGGAAGACCCGCUGAACUUAAGCAUAUCAAUAAGCGGAGGA